CCCAGUAGGACCAAGCCCACAAACACCAAGGGAAGAGAAAAUUAUAGCUUUUUCCCUCCUCAUUCAGAAUCUUAAACCUUUCCCGCUACACCGCGCUGGAGCUCUAACCAUCAUCCCAACCCUACCAAUCUCAACAUGUCAUGCUACUGAUCACAAACCCCAAACUCACUUCUCCUAAUUCCUAACCAGUUCAAUGAAUCGAAACAAAAAAAGGGAUGAACCCUAAAAUAGAAUAAAAAAUUAAACAAAGGAAAAGGAUCACUCGACCCUGAAAACCUAAAGGAAAUGACCCACUGGUUAAUCUCAACAAAGAAGUAACUCAAAUGCAAGCAAAUGAAGGAUUUCGGGUCUAUCUUCGCCGGAGAAGAUGACCGGAAAAAGUGACUAUUCAGGUGAAUUCCUCUCUCUCCCUCUCUCAUUAUAUUUCUAAUGCUUCUUUUAAAAUAAAAACUCAAAUUUUCCUCUUUCUCUCAAAUUCUAAAAUAUAUCUCACAAAAAAAAAAGCUUUCCCUCUUUGUGUUCUGAAGUUGUACUUAUAGGGGAGCAAAUUAGGGUAUUUUAAUUGGUUCUGAUCAAGCAAGGGGAAUGAUGUGUGGACUUGUAUUACUGCAGAACAAUGCUUUCCUAAAAAUGUGUUUGGCUCUGAAAAGCAAUUGUGCCCUCAUACCUUCUUUGUAUUGUUGUGAAAUGCAAUUUGGUUGUGUUUUUUACUCUCUUAGGUUCACUGCAGUAAAAGCUAGCUAAUUUUGGUUUUGAGCAUUUACAUUGUUUGCCUUGUGGACUUUGCUGCUAAGUGAUGGACUGUGUCGAUCCCAAGGUGCAUCCAGCUGGCAUGUUAUUAUGCAAUUAACAUGUCCAGUUAUGUUAGUUUUGUAAUUAGGUUCAGUUAAGAUAUAUGGUGUUAAGUUGCUGGUUUUUGUUAAGUUAAGAUUGACAUUAUGGUGAGUUGUGAUUGAUUGCUUGAUAUGCUUGAUGUUAGGUUGUGAAGUUUUUUUGCAUAAUUUGGCACUGACUUGUGAAUGGUUUCACUACAUAGUGGCUAGGUGCGUUGGCAUGAAUCAUGGCUCUUGUUUGUGAUCCUACUUUGGUUCUGUAGGGUGGUGGUUUAUAGUUCUUGGUAAUGGUUUAAACAUGGUUUUGACUUGGUUCAGUGUGGUGUUUUGUUUUUGCAGAAUUGCAGUUGGGUUCAGUUUGUUAUAGGGUUUGUGUUUGGAAUUCAUUGUUUUGCUUCUAAAUUUGUUAUGUUUUGUGCUAGGUUGAACUGUAAGUCAGGUUUCUUGACUUUGUAUGGCAAUGAUGAUGGUUUUGUAUUGCUUGGUUAAUGUUUGGUAAUAGGUUCUGCAGGGUUUUGGUGUGCUUUAUUGCUGGAUUGCAAGUUCUGGCUGCAACAAGUUUUUAGGGUUUCAUGGCAUGUUUUUGUAUGACUUGGUUUCAUACUUAUUGCAUAACAGGUUUUGCAAGUUGAAGUGGUUGGCUCAUGGUUCAACAAAGUUGUGACUUGUGCUGGCUGGAUGCAAGUGUAACUUAGUCUCAUUCAUGUGUGAUGAAUUGUGAAAUUUCUGCAAGAUAUUGGACAUGGCAUGCUCUUGUUUUAUGUGUGGUAUGUUCAUGGAUCUUUGUAAGGUCAUAUGCACAUGAAGUUGGUGGUUGAACAAAGGCUUAUAACAUGACAUCAAAAUUGGAUUAUGGGUCAUCAUGUGCAAAAGGCGAACUCCAAGAUCAAGGAUAAAAAAAUUUCCUUAGGAUUAGAAAUAGAAUUGGUAUUUAAGGUUUUAGGAUGCAAAAUGGUUGAGUUGAUUUUGGUCAAAGUUGACCAAAAAGUCAAUUGUUGACCAAAGUCAACAUUUGGUCAAAAUGUCCCUUUUUUGUUGUAAUUUUUCAUGUAUGGACAAUCUUAUGCUUUAUGUAAUGGAAUUUGAGGUUUUUUG